UCAUUUAAACCUUUAAUACAAAAUCGGAGUACUACGUCUCAAGGUAGCCAUCUUAAAACACGACUACAACACAAGAGGGACACAACCCUUACAAUACAAAAGAAACUACUAUCUAGUACAUUGAACUUAAGGAAACUCUUUAACAUAAAGGUCCUUGAAUCUUUAAGGACACACCCGAACUUGGGAAUAGUAAGCCAAGCUCAUCACUUCUAGGAAAGACCCUUUAG
rnacentral:lncRNA from 1 species